GUGGGGAAUAUUGGGCAAUGGGCGAAAGCCUGACCCAGCAACGCCGCGUGAAGGAAGAAGGCUUUCGGGUUGUAAACUUCUUUUGUCAGGGACGAAAAAAAUGACGGUACCUGACGAAUAAGCCACGGCUAACUACGUGCCAGCAGCCGCGGUAAUACGUAGGUGGCAAGCGUUAUCCGGAUUUACUUGGUGUAAAGGGCGUGUAGGCGGGAAAGCAAGUCAGAUGUGAAAACUAUGGGCUCAACCCAUAGCCUGCAUUUGAAACUGUUUUUCUUGAGUACUGGAGAGGCAGAUGGAAUUCCUAGUGUAGCGGUGAAAUGCGUAGAUAUUAGGAGGAACACCAGUGGCGAAGGCGAUCUGCUGGACAGCAACUGACGCUGAGGCGCGAAAGCGUGGGGAGCAAACAGGAUUAGAACCCCUGGUAGUCC
rnacentral:rRNA from 1 species